rnacentral:misc_RNA from 1 species
CGAAGAUGGAACCAAUGAUUGAACAUCCCAUUUUCCCAUGCAUGACCUUUCUUCCUUCUGUAUUUUAUUGCUGGCCCAGAUUUGAACCUGUGAACAACAAUAAGACGGAACUCAUCAAAGGUGAAAAUAUUGUAACAAAAAUGCAGAUGAAAUAAUUGCAACAAGGAGCUAACUACCACGGGUAUGGUAAUAGCAUGUAAGACUGAAUGGAGAAUUGAAGUUGAUAAAAUAACAGUAACAAAAAUACAGCAAACCCAUGGUACACAGCUAACAUAGAACCAAGCAAGCAGAACAAGGAAACAAAAGAACUAAUAUUUGAAAACUCAAUAGUCUUAUUCAAUCCUCAAUAAUAAGGUAACAACAUGAGUUGAUUAGGAUGCUCCAUAUGAGAACCAAUAAUUAUUACAGAAUAGAAAACCUUGGACUGAAUACAAGUAGGAAAACUAUGUUUACUAAAUAAAUUAUGAAAUACUAAAGCAUUAAUAUUGCUAACAGAAAAUAUCUGAACAAAACUUCUUAAUAAAAAUGUACAUGAAAAAUCAAAAUUUAUUAUUUAAUAGAAAUGAUUACUAAAUAUUCUUUCCCUUUUCUUCACCAACAGCACAGUACAAAACAAACUGCGAAAGGAGAAGAGGAAAGAGAUAAGAAAGGUCAGUGUAAAUAAAUGAGAAGCUUGAUUAUUUCCUCAA